CCAUUCCUGAUUGCACUUCAGACUUCAUGCACACCACUGAGUUCUCAAAUGUAAGCCCUGGAACCAUUACGCCUUUCCACAGACUUCGAAGCACUUCCCUCGUUCGUCGUCUUCCCGUGAGCACCCAACGUGAGGCGUCCCACAGUCUUAUGAUUUACAUACAUUCCUGAUUGCAGCUACGACUUCAUGCACACCACGGAGUUCCCAAAUACCAACUUCGGGUGGUCCAGGAGGCCCGCCAGGCGGCGGAGAGCUUCGGGCUUCCUGUCCCGACGUGGGAGAUGUCCUCUACACCUGGCGUCUAGCCGAGGGUCCUCCGACCCCUUUUUUGGGA